GACGAACGCUGGCGGCGUGCUUAACACAUGCAAGUCGAACGGAAAGGCCCUGCUUUUGUGGGGUGCUCGAGUGGCGAACGGGUGAGUAACACGUGAGUAACCUGCCCUUGACUUUGGGAUAACUUCAGGAAACUGGGGCUAAUACCGGAUAGGAGCUCCUGCUGCAUGGUGGGGGUUGGAAAGUUUCGGCGGUUGGGGAUGGACUCGCGGCUUAUCAGCUUGUUGGUGGGGUAGUGGCUUACCAAGGCUUUGACGGGUAGCCGGCCUGGGAGGGUGACCGGCCACAUUGGGACUGAGAUACGGCCCAGACUCCUACGGGAGGCAGCAGUGGGGAAUAUUGCGCAAUGGGCGGAAGCCUGAUGCAGCAACGCCGCGUGCGUGAUGACGUCCUUCGGGUUGUAAACCGCUUUCGCCUGUGACGAAGCGUGAGUGACGGUAAUGGGUAAAGAAGCACCGGCUAACUACGUG
rnacentral:rRNA from 1 species